rnacentral:rRNA from 1 species
AACAGGAUUAGAUACCCUGGUAGUCCACGCUGUAAACGAUGUCGACUUGGAGGUUGUGCCCUUGAGGCGUGGCUUCCGGAGCUAACGCGUUAAGUCGACCGCCUGGGGAGUACGGCCGCAAGGUUAAAACUCAAAUGAAUUGACGGGGGCCCGCACAAGCGGUGGAGCAUGUGGUUUAGUUCGAUGCAACGCGAAGAACCUUACCUACUCUUGACAUCCAGAGAAUUUGCUAGAGAUAGCUUAGUGCCUUCGGGAACUCUGAGACAGGUGCUGCAUGGCUGUCGUCAGCUCGUGUUGUGAAAUGUUGGGUUAAGUCCCGCAACGAGCGCAACCCUUAUCCUUUGUUGCCAGCGAGUCAUGUCGGGAACUCAAAGGAGACUGCCGGUGAUAAACCGGAGGAAGGUGGGGAUGACGUCAAGUCAUCAUGGCCCUUACGAGUAGGGCUACACACGUGCUACAAUGACAUAUACAAAGAGAAGCGAACUCGCGAGAGCAAGCGGACCUCAUAAAGUAUGUCGUAGUCCGGAUUGGAGUCUGCAACUCGACUCCAUGAAGUCGGAAUCGCUAGUAAUCGUAGAUCAGAAUGCUACGGUGAAUACGUUCCCGGGCCUUGUACACACCGCCCGUCACACCAUGGGAGUGGGUUGCAAAAGAAGUAGGUAGCUUAACCUUCGGGAGGGCGCUUACCACUUUGUGAUUCAUGACUGGGGUGAAGUCGUAACAAGGUAACC